UAUGCAAAAAGAGUUGUACAUUUAGCUUGAGUCAUGUUUAAAGCUUAUAAGUGUUGUAACUUAUGUUGUUUUCUUUGUACUUUCUUUGGGUACUUAUACAACGUCGCUUUCAAGAGACAGAAAGACAUCCGAAAAUCCACCGCCGCUCAACCUCUGCUCCACGGCUUCUCCUCCGGCCGGCGUCAUCCUCAUCGCCAGUAUACUAUAAGAUUUAGCUUUUGAUCUUCAAGAAUGGGUAUUUGUUGGAUUACGUUGUAUAUAUGUUCAGAAUCUGCUUCGUGAGCGUUGGGAGCUAGCGUCUAUUCUCAAUUUUUUGCAGGCGCAGGCCACCUCCAUCUGCUCCACAAAUAUCUGAUAUAUUCUCUCACAAGCUGCCUUUGUUCCAAACACCCUUGCAUUGCAUAAGGCUAGU